CCCAGCGUCACGUGACGGGUAGGAGCUGCGUGCUUGCGUCACGCGGGCAAGAUGGCAGCGCCCGGCAGCGUGGAGGAGAUGCGGAGUCGCGUGGUGCUCGGCGAGUUCGGCGUCCGCCACGUGCACACCACGGACUUCCCCGGCAGCUACCCGGGACACGCCGACGCUUGGGACCCGGCCACCUUCCGCCAGGGUUUCCGCGUGGACGUGACCAACAUGGAUGAGGGGUUGCUGGAGUUUGACCUGGUGGGCAUCGAUGCGGCCAUCGCCAACGCCUUCCGCCGCAUCCUGCUGGCCGAGGUACCGACAAUGGCUGUGGAGAAAGUCUUUGUGUAUAACAACACAUCCAUUGUGCAGGAUGAGAUCCUGGCCCAUCGCUUAGGCCUUAUCCCUAUCCAGGCUGACCCUCGCCUUUUUGAGUACAGAAGCCAAGGAGAUGAGGAAGGCACAGAAAUUGAUACCCUCCAAUUCCAGUUGAAAAUCAAGUGCAGCCGAAACCCUCGGGCAGCCAAGGAGUCCUCUGACCCCAAUGAGCUCUAUAUUAAUCACAAAGUGUACAGCAAACACAUGACGUGGGUACCUCUAGGCAAUCAGGCAGACCUCUUCCCAGAUGCAUGUUUUCGACCUGUUCACGAUGACAUCCUCAUCGCCCAGUUACGGCCUGGCCAAGAAAUCGAUGUGCUUAUGCACUGUGUCAAGGGCAUCGGUAAAGAUCAUGCUAAGUUUUCUCCAGUAGCCACUGCUAGUUACCGGCUGCUGCCUGACAUCACUUUGCUACAACCCAUUGAGGGGGAGGCAGCUGAGAAGCUGAAAAAGUGCUUCUCCCCUGGAGUCAUUGAAAUCCAGGAUAUCAAAGGAAGUACUUCUUCACGCAGCUCUGUGACUGUCCUCUGCACUGUUACCUGCUGCUCCAGGGUCCAGAAACCCUCUCUUGUUGUAACUCCAGGCUGUCGGCCACUCGUUCCCAGUGGUUAUGAGUUGCUGGCUGGCCCCAGGGAAGAAGGUGGCGAGGGUGGCGAAUGCUCGGCUGGACACGUUUAGCCGGGAGAUCUUCCGGCACGAGGAGCUGAAAAAUAUGGUGCGUCUGGCACGAGUGCGGAAUCACUAUAUCUUUUCAGUGGAAUCAACUGGUAUCCUGCCUCCAGAUGUGCUGGUGAGCGAAGCCAUCAGGGUGCUGAUGGGGAAGUGUCAGCGCUUCCUGGAUGAGCUGGACUCUGUCCCCACUGACUGAACUGUGCAAGUCUGAGAAGCAGAAGCUUAUGCUGUUGGCCUGGGCUCCUUGCAGCCACCUGCAGGGAUUGUUUCCAGUCCACACGAGGCAUUGGGACCAUCUACUGUGUGCUCUCCGUUCUCUGUACAGAUUUUUUAAAACAGCUCUGAGGAGGGAAAUGCUUCAGAAUAAAGGUCUUCCUGACUGUGUUGUCAGCUGCCGCAGGCAAUGUACAGAGGAAAUUUGAUGUACUACCCAUUAGCAGCUGGCUACGAAAGUGUCCUGUGGUUCUUGUUCUCUCGCUGCAUGUAGUGCCUGAAGAGAACUAAUAGCAAGGGCAAGUGGGCCUUAGGAAAGAGUUGACUGCAAGGUGUUGCUAUUGAAUUGCUAAUAAAAUAAGGGCUGCUG